rnacentral:lncRNA from 1 species
GAGAAUUUGUGAGUAGUCGGCACGCAUCUAGGCUAUUGACGUUUGGUUUGGUGUCUGGGCUUCUGGAUUUCACUAGCUAUUAGGCUUGGGCUUGGUUAUUUACGGUGGCUGGAUUAUGUUUUAAGAGUUUGAUGAAUGAUAUGGACUUAUGCUUGAUGGAUAUCUGGUAGGCUAUGUAUUUGAUAAGUGGAAAUUACAUACAGGCUUGUUUUUAAAAUUUACAUUUCAUGAAUCAUAUUCUAAGUUUUAUAUUUCAAAAUUCAGAUUAUAAUUUAUUAUUUAAUACGUAUUAAAUAAAUAUAUUAAUAAUAAUUCAUAUUAUCAUCCAUAUCCCCA